AAUGAAUUACAGGCCAAUGAGGACUUUUACCACAUCAUUCGUAACAUUACGGUCAUGAUUAUACCGAAUAAACCCUGGUCAUAAUCAUACUAAGUCCAUUUAUGCACGUAAGUUAAAGAUGACUUUAAUCACAAUAAAAGCAUGAGGAUGAUGAUAAUGACAUAAUAAUUCAAUAAAACAAGUUCAAGGAUAAAUUUUAAAGAUUUAUA
rnacentral:lncRNA from 1 species